AACGAACGCUGGCGGCAUGCUUAACACAUGCAAGUCGAACGCAUGCCUUCGGGCAUGAGUGGCAGACGGGGGCGUAACGCGUGGUAACCUACCCCUUGGUACCGGCUAGCUCCGGGAAACUGGGGAUAAUACGGUAUGUUUCCUGAGGGACAAAGAGAAAACGCCCAGGGAGGGGGCGGAGUCGGAUUACCUAGUGGGCGGGGUAUGGGCCUACCAAGGCGACGAUCCGUAGCUGGUCUCAGAGGAUGCUCAGCCACAUUGGGGGUGGGACACGGCCGGGACUCCUACGCGAGGCGGGAAAGGGGAAUAUUGGAAAGUGGGGGCAGGGCUGAUGCAGCCAUGCCGCGUAAGUGAUGAAGGCCGGAAAGUUGUAAAGCUCAUUCACAGGUGACGAUAAUGACGGUACCCGGAGAAGAAGCCCCGGCUAACUACGUG
rnacentral:rRNA from 1 species